GAUGAACGCUGGCGGCGUGCCUAAUACAUGCAAGUCGGGCGAACGGACGAGAAGCUUGCUUCUCUGAUGUUAGCGGCGGACGGGUGAGUAACACGUGGAUAACCUACCUAUAAGACUGGGAUAACUUCGGGAAACCGGAGCCAAUACCGGAUAAUAUUUUGAACCGCAUGGUUCAAAAGUGAAAGACGGUCUUGCUGUCACUUAUAGAUGGAUCCGCGCUGCAUUAGCUAGUUGGUAAGGUAACGGCUUACCAAGGCAACGAUGCAUAGCCGACCUGAGAGGGUGAUCGGCCACACUGGAACUGAGACACGGUCCAGACUCCUACGGGAGGCAGCAGUAGGGAAUCUUCCGCAAUGGGCGAAAGCCUGACGGAGCAACGCCGCGUGAGUGAUGAAGGUCUUCGGAUCGUAAAACUCUGUUAUUAGGGAAGAACAUAUGUGUAAGUAACUGUGCACAUCUUGACGGUACCUAAUCAGAAAGCCACGGCUAACUACGUG
rnacentral:rRNA from 1 species